rnacentral:rRNA from 1 species
UACGUAGGUGGCAAGCGUUGUCCGGAUUUACUGGGCGUAAAGGGCGUGCAGGCGGUUUGUUAAGUGCAGAGUGAAAGCUCCCGGCUCAACUGGGAGAGGUCUUUGCAUACUGGCAAACUCGAGGGAGGCAGAGGAAAGUGGAAUUCCCGGUGUAGUGGUGAUAUGCGUAGAUAUCGGGAGGAACACCUGUGGCGAAGGCGGCUUUCUGGGCCUUACCUGACGCUGAGACGCGAAAGCGUGGGUAGCAAACAGG